UACGUAGGGGGCUAGCGUUGUCCGGAAUCAUUGGGCGUAAAGCGCGUGUAGGCGGCCCGGUAAGUCCGCUGUGAAAGUCGGGGGCUCAACCCUCGGAUGCCGGUGGAGUACUGUCGGGCUCGAGUACGGAAGAGGCGAGUGGAAUUCCUGGUGUAGCGGUGAAAUGCGCAGAUAUCAGGAGGAACACCAAUUGCGAAGGCAGCUCGCUGGGACGUUACUGACGCUGAGACGCGAAAGCGUGGG
rnacentral:rRNA from 1 species